CCGAGUUUACAACUCCCAAACCCCUAUGAACAUACCAAUUGUUGCCUCGGCGGAUCAGCCCGCUCCCGGUAAAACGGAACGGCCCGCCAGAGGACCCCUAAACUCUGUUUCUAUAUGUAACUUCUGAGUAAAACCAUAAAUAAAUCAA
rnacentral:misc_RNA from 1 species